rnacentral:rRNA from 1 species
CUAGCCUGCCCAGUGACAAAGUUUAACGGCCACGGUAUCCUAACCGUGCGAAGGUAGCAUAAUCACUUGUUCUUUAAAUGAGGACUUGUAUCAACGGCAUCACGAGGGUUAUACUGUCUCCUUUUUCUAAUCAGUGAAACUAAUCUUCCCGUGAAGAAGCGGGAAUACUCCCAUAAGACGAGAAGACCCCAUGGAGCUUCAAACCCAAUUACACCCCUAACCCAUAUAACUAUUUAACCCUUAGGGCCCUGUACCAUUGGUUUUAGGUUGGGGCGACCACGGAGUACAACAAAACCUCCACAAUGAACGGAACUACUCCCUCAUCUAAGAGCUACACCUCUAAGAAUUAAAAUAUUAAUAUAAAAUGAUCCAUUUUUUGAUCAAUGAACCAAGUUACCCUGGGGAUAACAGCGCAAUCCAUUUCAAGAGCCCCUAUCGACAAAUGGGUUUACGACCUCGAUGUUGGAUCAGGGUAUCCUAGUGGUGCAGCAGCUACUGAAGGUUCGUUUGUUCAACGAUCAAAACCCU